UACGUAGGGGCCGAGCGUUGUCCGGAGUUACUGGGCGUAAAGCGCGCGCAGGCGGCUCGCUUUGCCCGGCGUGAAAGCCCACGGCUCAACCGUGGAGGGUCAUUGGAAACUGGGGAACUUGAGUGCAGAAGAGGAAAGUGGAAUUCCAAGUGUAGCGGUGAAAUGCGUAGAGAUUUGGAGGAAUACCAGUGGCGAAGGCGACUUUCUGGUCUGUAACUGACACUGAGGCGCGAAAGCGUGGGGAGCGAACAGG
rnacentral:rRNA from 1 species